GAUGAACGCUAGCGAUAGGCUUAACACAUGCAAGUCGAGGGGCAGCAUGAACAAAGCUUGCUACUUUUGAUGGCGACCGGCGCACGGGUGCGUAACAGGUGUGCAAUCUGUCCAUAAUCGGGGAAUAGCCCAGCGAAAGUUGGAUUAAUGCUCCAUGUGAGUUUUAGAGGCAUCUCUUUAAUUUGAAACGUAAGGAUUAUGGGUGAGCACGCUUCUGAUUAGGUAGUUGGUGAGGUAACGGCUCACCAAGCCGACGAUCAGUAGGGGUUCUGAGAGGAAGGUCCCCCACAUUGGAACUGAGACACGGUCCAAACUCCUACGGGAGGCAGCAGUGAGGAAUAUUGGUCAAUGGACGCAAGUCUGAACCAGCCAAGUCGCGUGAAGGAUGAAGGUUCUAUGGAUUGUAAACUUCUUUUGUCUGAGGGUAAAAAAGCGGACGUGUCCGUUCUUGCAAGUAUCAGACGAAUAAGCAUCGGCUAACUCCGUGCCAGCAGCCGCGGUAAGAC
rnacentral:rRNA from 1 species